rnacentral:lncRNA from 1 species
ACUUCUGUUCCUCCCCGCCCUGGUGCUGCUCCAGGUCACAUACUCUUCCUGAGCCGGCUUCAGCCUCUCCGCGCAGAAGUCUCCCGGAGCCAUGGCCUAGUAUUCUUAUGUGAAGUCUACCAAGCUUGUGCUCAAGGGAACCGAGUAAGAAGAAAAAGAGCAAAGAUAAGAAGAGAAAAAGAGAAGAUGAAGAAACCCAGCUUGAUAUGUUGGAAUCUGGUGAACAGUAACAAACUUUGGUGAAAUUUCAGGAACCAUAGCCAUUGAAGUGGAUGAGGGAACCUAUAUACAUGCACUCAACAAUGGUCUUUUUACCCUGGGAGCUCCACACAAAGAAGAAUCGCCCUGAAACCUGGCUAUGGAAAAUAUCUUAGUAUAAAUUCAGAUGAACUUGUUGUUGGCGUUCAGAUGCAAUUGGACCAAGAGAACAAUGGGAACCAGUCUUUCAAAAUGGUGCCUGUGCAGCAGUAUUCACUGUGAUAGGAAGUGAGAAGCAGUCUGAGUGUUCAUUGCUGAGGGAAUCAAGGGCAAAAUAUCAUGGAUGCACUCAUGGACAAAUAAGCAGCAGUUUGAAGCAACACCCUAGAUGGAUGUACAGCCAUCAAGAGGAUCUUAAAGUGUGGUCUUUAGUGGAAAAAAAGCUUAUUUUGGGAGAGGCCAGCUGCCAUGUCAUGAAGACACUCAAGAAGCCCUGUGAAGAGGAAGCAAGGCCUGCCAACAACAGCCAGCACCAACUUUCCAGCCAAGGGAUUGAGCCAUCUCACAGUGGAUCCUCCAGCCCCCACCAAGCCUUCAUAUGACCAAACCAAUACCAACAUGUAACUGUGACCUCAUGUGAGUCCCCAAGCCAGAAUACCCAUCUCCUGUCUCAGAAAUGAUGAGAAAUAAUAAAUAUAUGUGCUCACACA